AGUGAACGCUGGCGGUAGGCCUAACACAUGCAAGUCGAACGGCAGCACAGUAAGAGCUUGCUCUUACGGGUGGCGAGUGGCGGACGGGUGAGGAAUACAUCGGAAUCUACUUUUUCGUGGGGGAUAACGUAGGGAAACUUACGCUAAUACCGCAUACGACCUACGGGUGAAAGCAGGGGAUCUUCGGACCUUGCGCGAUUGAAUGAGCCGAUGUCGGAUUAGCCAGUUGGCGGGGUAAAGGCCCACCAAGGCGACGAUCCGUAGCUGGUCUGAGAGGAUGAUCAGCCACACUGGAACUGAGACACGGCCCAGACUCCUACGGGAGGCAGCAGUGGGGAAUAUUGGACAAUGGGCGCAAGCCUGAUCCAGCCAUACCGCGUGGGUGAAGAAGGCCUUCGGGUUGUAAAGCCCUUUUGUUGGGAAAGAAAAGCAGCAGGUUAAUACCCCGCUGUUCUGACGGUACCCAAAGAAUAAGCACUGGCUAACUUCGUG
rnacentral:rRNA from 1 species